AUGCAAGUCCAGCUCCGGAAAGUGGAGGAGGCUCAGUCUUUGCAAGCAAAAAAAAUGGACGAUUUUUCUCAACAAAUGAAACAAAUGAUGGAGAUGAUGCAUUCUCUUCAUCAAGGGAAGCUUUGAACCCUAACCCUAAUCGUCUUCCUCUCAACCCAACUCUAAUUGAUUUGGAAGGAUUGGAGAUCCUGUCACCCAAGUGUUCGUGUUCUUUGGAAAAAUAUGGUUCCUGCAAAUUCUACUUGGGAGGAUGUUUCUUUUUUCUCAUGUCUCCAUUUUCAGCUUUAAAAUCUUGACGACAAGAUGCGAUUCAAAGCAAGGGGUAUUUGUCAUAACUAAGAUGUAAUUGUAGUUGGGGUUGGUUGUUAUUGAAUUGCAUUUUCAUGUCUAUAAAGAGCUGCUAGCUUGUUCGGCGAUUAUUAAUUAAGUUGUAGUAGAAAUUAAUAGCAGCAGAUGCAAUGCAUGUUAAAAUCAAAAUGGUACAAUGGAGGUCAUAGUAAAAUUUAUUAAUUUUAUGGAUUUUA